rnacentral:lncRNA from 1 species
UGCUCCAUCUCUUAAGAAAGGACGCGGGGGGCCUGUCUUAUAAUAAAGGGGGUACUCUCUUCUCUGAUGUGCGCUAUAUUAUUGUGUCCUAUUCCUUAAGGAGUGAUCCGGGAUUAAGCCACAUGGCGAUACCCGCCAAAAGAAAGGGGGCCUUUCGUACGGAUUGGAGUACGAAGAUAAUUAUUCAGCACACUAAAAUCUAGUGGAUGGGGUUCCAUAUUCAUGAAAAGCCGGGGUUGAAACAUGUUAUGAAACUAAGACAACAAUUAUUUCUAAUAAUAAGAAAGAGUUAAGCGCCUCCAAGGGCCUGUCUUAUAAUAAAGGGGGUACUCUCUUCUCUGAUGUGCGCUAUAUUAUUGUGUCCUAUUCCUUAAGGAGUGAUCCGGGAUUAAGCCACGUGGCGAUACCCGCCAAAAGAAAGGGGGCCUUUCGUACGGAUUGGAGUACGAAGAUAAUUAUUCAGCACACUAAAAUCUAGUGGAUGGGGUUCCAUAUUCAUGAAAAGCCAGGGUUGAAUCAUGUUAUGAAACUAAAACAACAAUUAUUUCUAAUAAUAAGAAAGAGGUAAUCGCCUCCAAGGCCUAUAAAUAGAAGCUUCUUUCAGUCUAUAUUUUCAAAGAGAGACGUAGAAAUCAAAAAGAAAUACUUUAAGUAACACUUAUUCCAACAACACUGAAAUGGAUAUCGUCGGAAGACUUGCAACAAUUCAAGAAUCAAUUCAAGCCGUCGAAAACGAAAAAGAACAAAGGCAGCAAACCCUGGCUGCCUUUUGGGAGCACCUGCCUCCCAUCGAUCCUGCACUUGUGGCUGCAGCCAUGCAGUGGAUCCGGGACCGCAUUAGCGUCCUGGAAGACAGGAAACGGUCAAAAAGAAAUAUUUUAAGUACACUUAUUCCAACAACACUGAAAUGGAUAUCGUCGGAAGACUUGCAACAAUUAAAGAAUCAAUUCAAGUCGUCGAAAACGAAAAAGAACAAAGCAGCAAACCCUUGCUGCCUUUUAGGAGCACCUGCCUCCCAUCGAUCCUGCACUUGUGGCUGCAGCCAUGCAGUGGAUCUGGGACUGCAUUAGCGUCCUGGAAGACAGGAAACGGGCCCUCCUCCAAGAACAGGAAGACCUAAUUGUGGGUGCUGUCAUCCGUGGUCGCCAGGGAGACUAGAAUAGAAGAGCCCGUCGACUCUUUUUAGUUUUAGAAGGUUUAAAUAAGUGUCUGUAGACGCAAAGUAGUGUGUUUCUUCUUUUUCUUUGUUUGGUGGAGAUCUACUCCUAUCCUAAGU